UACGUAGGGCGCAAGCGUUGUCCGGAAUUAUUGGGCGUAAAGAGCUCGUAGGCGGUUUGUCGCGUCUGCUGUGAAAACUCGGGGCUCAACCCCGGACUUGCAGUGGGUACGGGCAGACUAGAGUGUGGUAGGGGAGACUGGAAUUCCUGGUGUAGCGGUGAAAUGCGCAGAUAUCAGGAGGAACACCAGUGGCGAAGGCGGUUCUCUGGGCCUUACCUGACGCUGAGGAGCGAAAGCGUGGGGAGCAAACAGG
rnacentral:rRNA from 1 species